UAAACGAUCAUAAAACAUGCAUUAACACUUAAAAUUACUUCGUUUAGGCAUAAACCUUAAUCAUGAAAUCAUUAAUUUAAACUUUAUUAAUUUUACUCUAGAAAUACUCUUUAGGAUGUUUAAAAGUAAAUACUAAAUUUCUUAUCAAAACUUUGAUGUUUCCUAUGCCUUUUCUUCUUCUUCUCCUCUCACUUUCUCUCUAGAUCACUCGUUCUCUCUCUAGAGCUCUUGGAGUAUGGACGAAUGAAAUGGAAGUGAUGAGGAAAUGGUGAAUGGAGGGUCCUUAUUUAUAGAAAAUGGGGACUGUUGGAUU
rnacentral:lncRNA from 1 species